GAUGAACGCUGGCGGCGUGCCUAAUACAUGCAAGUCGAGCGAACGGACGAGAAGCUUGCUUUUCUGAUGUUAGCGGCGGACGGGUGAGUAAUACGUGGAUAACCUACCUAUAAGACUGGGAUAACUUCGGGAAACCGAAGCUAAUACCGGAUAAUAUUUUGAACCGCAUGGUUCAAAAGUGAAAGACGGUCUUGCUGUCACUUAUAGAUGGAUCCGCGCUGCAUUAGCUAGUUGGUAAGGUAACGGCUUACCAAGGCAACGAUGCAUAGCCGACCUGAGAGGGUGAUCGGCCACACUGGAACUGAGACACGGUCCAGACUCCUACGGGAGGCAGCAGUAGGGAAUCUUCCGCAAUGGGCGAAAGCCUGACGGAGCAACGCCGCGUGAGUGAUGAAGGUCUUCGGAUCGUAAAACUCUGUUAUUAGGGAAGAACAUAUGUGUAAGUAACUGUGCACAUCUUGACGGUACCUAAUCAGAAAGCCACGGCUAACUACGUG
rnacentral:rRNA from 1 species